rnacentral:rRNA from 1 species
UACAGAGGGGGCAAGCGUUGUUCGGAAUUACUGGGCGUAAAGGGCGCGUAGGCGGCCACGCACGUCCGUUGUGAAAUCGCUCGGCUCAACUGGGCGGGGUCAGCGGAUACGGAGUGGCUGGAGCAAGCUAGGGGGCAAUGGAAUUCCCGGUGUAGUGGUGGAAUGCGUAGAUAUCGGGAGGAACACCAAUGGCGAAGGCAGCUCGCUGGGACGUGACUGACGCUGAGACGCGAAAGCGUGGGAG